AGAGUUUGAUCCUGGCUCAGAAUGAACGUUGGCGGCGUGGAUUAGGCAUGCAAGUCGAGCGAGGAAGCUUGUAGCAAUACGAGUCAUUCGAGCGGCGUAAGGGGCAGUAAUACCUGGGAACGUACCCUGAGGUCGGGGAUAGCUGCUGGAAACGGCGAGUAAUACCCGAUGAUCUCGAGAGAGCAAAGGCUUGCCGCCUUCGGAGCGGCCCAGGCGAUAUUAGCUAGUUGGUGGGGUAAUGGCCUACCAAGGCAUAGAUGUCUAGCGGGUGUGAGAGCACGACCCGCGCCACUGGCACUGAGACACUGGCCAGACACCUACGGGUGGCUGUAGUCGAGAAUCUUCGGCAAUGAGCGCAAGCUUGACCGAGCGACGCCGCGUGCGGGAUGAAGGCCUUCGGGUUGUAAACCGCUUUGGUCCGAAAGAAAGGGCAACUUGGUCGAUCGGAGAAACAAGGACGGGCUAAGUUCGUGCCAGCAGCCGCGGUAAG
rnacentral:rRNA from 1 species